AUUGAACGCUGGCGGCAGGCCUAACACAUGCAAGUCGAGCGAGCGGCGGACGGGUGAGUAAUGUAUGGGGACUGCCCGAUGGAGGGGGAUAACUACUGGAAACGGUAGCUAAUACCGCAUACUAUCGGAUAACCCAUAUGGGAUUAGCUAGUAGGUGAGGUAACGGCUCACCUAGGCGACGAUCCCUAGCUGGUCUGAGAGGAUGACCAGCCACGCUGGGACUGAGACACUGCCCAGACUCCUACGGAGGCAGCAGUGGGGAAUAUUGCACAAUGGGCGCAAGCCUGAUGCAGCUAUGCCGCGUGUAUGAAGACGGCCCUAGGGUUGUAAAGUACUUUCAGUCGGGAGGCGUUACCGACAGAAGAAGCACCGGCUAACUCCGUGCCAGCAGCCGCGGUAAUUC
rnacentral:rRNA from 1 species